rnacentral:tRNA from 2 species
GCGGAUGUAGCCAAGUGGAUCAAGGCAGUGGAUUGUGAAUUCACCAUGCGCGGGUUCAAUUCCCGUCGUUCG